CUUAUAACAAGUCUAACUGGCUCUGGAAAGCUGAAAAGGCUGCACUGGAGCGGCAUAGAUGAUAUAUUCCACAUAAUAAUCUGCUUAUCUAGAAUCACUCUGCCUAGAAAGGCCAGAGAAAAUCGCAGCUUCAUUAUCUGAGGAAAGAAGGACAGGUGAUCUGGCAAAAACAUUUCUGAACCUGGAGCAAGAACGAUCCUCUGGCUUGGCAGUCCCAACAGUGCAGUGUGAAAGGAACUGAGCCUCCCCAGAAAUCCAAGGGCAGCCACAGCAGCAAAACCGGAGCUUUUGCAGGAUCACUUGUUAUUAAGUAUGAGUAGAGAGAAAGAAACUCGCAACUAACAUGAUCAUCUGCUGAGCAAAAUAGAUCAUUUUCCAGGACAGAUUUAAAGCUACCUUUCCGGAUGGGCAGCCUCACAGCCAGUCACAGAAACACAGUAAACGGGGCUGACAAGGAGUGAAGAAAAGGGCUACAGGAAAAAAAUCGCCUGCUUUCCACAUCUGAGAGAAAUCACUAUGCUCAGAGGGAAUAGGAUACUUUACACAAGAGAAAAUGCUUUCCAAAACUUGAUGCUUAUUUUAGGAGAAUUGGGUACAUUCCCAGCCAUCUUUCCAACACAAGUCUUCUAUCUCUGACCAAGGAUAAAUUCUUCAAUUUCCAACCAUGGAAAGAACCAAGUUCAUGAACCAAGGUAUCACUGAGCUCAUAAGAAUUCUGCAGUUUCAUUCUCUCUAUGAAAAAGAUCAAGUUACAAAGAAGCCUCCUCCACACUGAAGCAGAGAGCCAAAGAAAAAUGAUCUAACCACAGUCUGAAUCUGCUGGACAGUUAAUCACCUUCAAUAAGCUCCAAGCCUGGGCUGUAAUUGUUUCCACCAUCUUUUCCAACAGUUUGCAUCUUCUUUUUCAAUUUUAUUUGACAUUAAAUUCGAUGAAGUCACCCUUAUUUGAAAAUUAAAAUUCAUCAUCAUAAGAAGCUGAGGGAGGAUGCUUUUAAACAAGAAAGAUGCUAAACUCACAAUACCUAAGGAAUUCCUGUUUAUUGUUUAUUUUCUUAAUGCCACGUAGUAUUUGAAGACCAGGUUGCAAACAGAAGUGCUCCACCAAACCUGCUCUUCCUACACAAAAGUACAGUAUAAAAUGCUUUACCUGCUUGCUUGCAGAAGACAUGUUUUUGUCACAAAUAAAAAAUGUACACCAAAUUCAAAGACCUUAAUGGAAUUAAUACGAAUCUUACAUUUGCACAAGAGCAUGCUUGAUUUAGCAUUCUUUGGGAAGGGGCUGUUGGUAACUGGAAGGAAAGAAGGAGAAGAAGCACUCUCUAUAAGGUGGCUUAGAAAGGAGAGAUUGAAGCAGCCAGAACAAACUUCUAGGGUGGAUAAAAGACCAACCUUGUCACAAUAUUUCCAGAGGCCAAUCAUUAAUAGUUGCAAGAGCCACUAUAGAGCAUUAGCAUUAUUCAUAACUGUAUCAUUGGGACUCUUGCUCUCAUUUUGGCACCUUUAAGAACCUUCUACAAUUUGCAUGCUUGUUUCCAGCCAAGCAAAUUUAAUAAAGCCCAUUUUUCAUCCAUGUGACUUUGGGUUUAGGAAAAUUACAUCUAGAGGAAGCAUUCAUCUUACUGGUUGUCUUUUUCUCUACAGCUCUGUCCUCUGGCUGGAGAAGGCAGAGCCCUCCGUCACAGAAAGCAUAUCAAUGUACAUUUUUCUACAUCGUGCAACAUUGAGCUGAACACUCACUCGACAGCACAGCCACAGGUGUUUUCACUUUACAAGGCUGUGUCAUAUUUGUCUUGUGCUUUUCAUCAUACAUUUGAUUUAACAGACAAAUUUUCAAGGCUCAGUGCUGAUGGAUAUACCCUGGAGCCAACUUCAAAGCCAGAUCUUAGAUUUAUGAAAAUAAAAUAAGCAUACUGCUUCAAUUACAAAUACCUACUUUGAAUUCCAAUGUGAACUUUCAAAUGUUCAUCUUAUAAAUCUUGCCCUUUAUUUGAAAC
rnacentral:lncRNA from 1 species